GGGCUCUGGGUGCCCCCACCCCUUCCCCUCUAAACCCCAAGGAAAGCAAGAAGAUAAAGAAGUAAAGGCGACGGAGGAGAAAUGGAGAGAAAAGGGAAGACUUACUUGGGGGCCGAAGGCUCAGCCUGACUCCCGCUUCGGACUCGGCAGGUGUCUAGCACCGCGGGCCCAGGCGGAAGGCGCUGGCGCAGCGCAGAGCAGGGACUCCACUUAUCGAGGACUGGAAACUCCCCUUGCCGCCCGGCCUCCGCGCUGCGCUCCUUGCUGUCACCGCUCCGAGCGACGCAGGCACGCUCCCCGCUGCCUCCUAGUCCUGCAGAUGCUCAGCAGUCCCAUAGGAUCAGUAACAGCACAGCACCAUUGCCAAGCCACAUGGAAGCAUGAAGCAAAAGAAAACAUCAGUAAUAUUGAUUUUGUCUUAAUUUACAAUGUUAAUAUGUUGUUCAUCAUGGAUUUCCCACAUUAAUUUUGAUUUAAUAAAAUAUUACAUUAUCAUUUACCUUGAUU
rnacentral:lncRNA from 10 species